UUGUCGUUUCCAUGGAAAUAAAUAGGAAGCAUUACUUUUGGAGUGACCUACAUAAAUGCAGCUCAAGACAAUUUCUCUUCACUUAGUGCCCAGGCAAGCCAAAAGGUUGGACACACAUUGUUUAUGUGAUACAUGCUGCUGCCGCCCCUUUUAGACCACAGUUCUAGAUUUAAAAAGAAUACAAAAUAGUCCUUUUAAAAAUAAAUACUGUUAUGAUUCUGUGCAUUCAUGUCUUUACAUAAGCCUACUUUUGUGGGCAGAUAGGAAUUUAGUCAAAUUUUACUUUAGACUUUCAUUACAUUUUCAAAUGCAAAAUUGUUUUAAAACUCCCAGGGAGAUGUAAUCAGCUGCUUUCAUUCUAUUCUUUCCUGAUCUUCAAAAAACAAUUGAGAUUGUUGGAUAUCUAUGUGCUCAGACACUCAGGAUUUAUUUUUCUUGCAUUCUGUUAGCCAGUGAGUAUCAGAAAUAAUGGGCGUUCUUGACCUUGUCUGUGUUAACCUGGUUCUUCUAUCAGUCUGUAUGGAUUACAUUUUCUUUCCCCCUGGCUGUUAUCAGCAGCCACCUUUGGAAGGUAUAAACUAUUGAAAAUUUUUGUGAUGUUGCUCUUGGGGAAUCAAGCUUUAGACAUUUUAGAGUUAUUAGUUUUACAGCCUCACCUGCUCUUCUCUACCUCUGUUUUCCUUUGAUUUGCUUAUCUUUGUUCCUUUGACUUUUCUUAUGUAACAUUAGAAGGGUUUUUUUGUUGUACAUUUUUCUGUGUCUUUACUGAUGCAAGCUUUCUUGCUUGGCUGCCUGCCACCAUUUCCUUCAUCUCUACUAGAUGCUUUCUUUUGCCACAGUUCUGAGCAGUUUUUCUUGAGAAAGGCUCUUGCACAAUUUAAGUGUUGCAUUCAGUUUUGCUUUUAAUCUGUUGCACCUGAAUUUAUUGCUUUUUGCCUACCAACUUUAUUACACGUUGUUUGAUCUUUACAUUUCAUGUCUUACUGCUUUAGCCUAUCCUACUGGUAGUCUGAUGUUGCAAAUUUUCCAAAACAAAUGGGUUAGGUUUUUCAAGCAUCCUGCAAAUGGUGUUUCCAAUCCAAAUUAUUUUACGUUAUUUUAACUUAAAUAAACACUUCUAAUUCAGUAAUUGGUAAAAUGCUUCAUUGACAUAUACUGCUCACAUAAAGUUAAGACAGAAGUCCUUGAAAUUGAGAGAUCCAGUAUUCAUGUUUUAAAAAAAAAAAAAGUGAAGGCAAAGUGAUGUGCCUACACACUAUUUCAGGUUUAGUCACAUUAUGAUGAGUGACUUUCCAUAUGCACCAACCAUCUACACAUUUCAUGUGUUGUGGGUAGGUUUUGAGCCAAAGAUUCCGUUAAUCUGUUUUCUGAAUAACUGCCUCCACAUCCAUUCAUUAUUUCUCAUUAUAUAAGAUUGAAUCCUAUCCUUUUGUUGAAUUUGAUAUAUAACCACUUGCCCCUGUUAGUACCACUAGGUAGGUUUCCUCUAUACUGGGUACAAUUUACUCAAUUUACAGUGACACUCUGUAACAAAAUCAGUGCCAUUUGGCCUUGGGUAAUGUGCAUAAUUGGCCACCCUGUGGCGAAGGCAACAACAGAAGUCAAUAUAUUUAUCACAAGUACAGUUGCCAAAGUCUAGAAAACUUCAUAACUGUUGGUCCUGCAGAUUCUGAUGCCCAUUGCUUUCUUGGUGACUUCUUCACUCUUGAAAAGUGAAUCCAGUUGGGUUGUUACCUGAUCUUGACUGCAGUAAACACUGUCUGCAGUGCUCAGAAUGGUCCAUUCCACUUCUCUUCCAGUGGCUGACCUGAAAAAGCUUUAGUGUACACUCAGUCUUCUGGUUUAAAGGGGUGAAUUUGUUGAUCUAAAUCUCUAUUUCUGACACCCAAAACCGCUUUGUUAAUUUUGCUUAACUGAUUUCCCAAUGCAAUCAUAUAACUCUGUAAAUAGUUUGCACCCAAUUGAUUCAGAGCCUCCCCUUUAAACUGAUAUUGGUAAGGUCUACCAUGCAGUAUUUCAAAAGGACUCAAACUCUAUUUAGAUCUUGUUUUACCCUAGUUCUCAUCAAGUCUAUAGGGAGUGCUUGAUGCCAAUAAAUAAAGCUAAUAAAUUAGCUUCCUGACAGAUUUCAGCUAUUUCAUAUUUUAUCAAAUGAUUCACCUUUUCGACUUGCCUGCUUGCUUGUGGUCAAUAGGGCGUGUGCAAUUGCCAGUCAAUUCCCAGCAUUUUACUGACUUGAUGUACUGCUUGCCCACAAAAGACAGGGUUACUCUCUGACGAUAUCAUGACAGGUACCCCAGACUGAGGUAUUAUUUCAUUUAAUAACACUCUUAGAACUUCUCUUGCCUUAUUUGCCCUACAAGGAAAAGCUUCUGGCCAACAUGAAAAAGUGCCUGUCAGCACCAGAGAGUACUGAUACCUCCCCCUUUUCUAGGAAGUUCUGAGAAAUCUAUUUGCCACUGCUGUCCUGGAACGUUGCCUUUCCCUGCUUGUACCCUGUUCCUGGUAUUAGGAUUGUUCUUCAAACAGAUUUCACAUUGUUGAGUAACCUGUUUCAGUGUGGUGUACAGAUUACAACCAACAAUUACUUUGUUCAAAUACUUACAAAGAGUAUCUUCUCCCCAAUGUGUUUUAUUAUGUUCCUGGAGAACCAUUUUCCUUAUGAUGCCAAAAGGUGCAACAAUGCAUCCAUCUGGUAUAGAGGCCCAUCUGUUGGUUCGCAUCUUUCCUUCUAAAUGAUUAAAUUCCUAUCUUCUUUAGAAUAUUUUACAGGUUCUGACUCAAGUUCAGUGAUUUGAAGUUUACUGUCUGGAGUUAAAGUCAGUUCACCAGUUUCUUUUCCUUCAGCUGCCUGUUUUGCUGCCCAAUCCAUCAUCUUAUUUCCAAUUUCCUGUACAGUGUUACCCUUCUGAUGUCCUUUACAAUGUAUUGUAGCCAUGCUCUUUGGUAGAUUUACAGCUUCCAACAGAUGCAAAAUUUCUUUGGCAUGCUUAAUUUGUUCUCCUUGUGUUGUAAGCAAUCCUCACUCUUUCCAAAUGACACCAUGGGCAUGUACCACCCCAAAUGCAUAUUUAGGAUCAGUCCAUAUGUUUAUCCCUUUUCCUUUUGCCAAGUCUAAAGCUCUUGUCAAGGCAGUUAUUUCAGCCUUCUGAGCAGAAGUCCCUGCAAGUAAUGGUUUUGCUUUGAUUACCUUGUCAGUAGUGGUUACUGCAUAUCCUGCCUUAGUUUCCUUGUCUCACAAAACUGCUUCUGUCUGUGAACCAGGAAUCUUCCGCAUCGUCUGUUGGUUCCUUCUUUAGGUCCAGCUUUCUUUCAUAGACAAUCUCCAUAGUUUCCAAACAGUGGUGCGCUACUGGCUCGGAGGUAGCUCCUCUGAGGAAAGAUGCUGGGUUCACAGUGUUAGUAGUCACUAUGUUGACAUCCUCUUGUUCUGCCAUUAUGGCCUGAUAUUUCAAAAAAUCUAGAAGGGGGAAGAUAAUGGCUUCCCUUCUGUUCCAGAACUGUGGAAACCAAGUGGGAUACCAAUACAGUCAUUUUCCGACCUGAAGUAAAUUUGUAAGCUUCCUGGAUAUUACUAACAACUGCUGCCACUGCCCAUAGGCACCCAGGCCAACCUCUGCGAACUUCAUUCAAUUGCUUUGAUAUGGGUUGGAUUGUUAGCAAUAGGGAUUAGUACAUUAGUUUAAGAACCAGUAUGUUAGUUUAGCAAAAGGAAUCUGUAAGUGAUAGUUCUAAAACUUUCCAUUUCAGCUUUAGUGGGUGAGCAGUCUUGUUUUUCCUCAAUAAUUUUGCACUGAGGACAUAAUAGAAUACUUUUAUCUUCUGCCGCAAUGAUUUUGCCUCAUGGGAAGUACUGGAGUCACAACAAAAUACUUUUGUCUUUUGCCUCACAAUGUGCAAGGACAUUUUCUUUGGGUUCUGCAUACAUUGUUUUUAAAAAGUGGUUCACUAUGGCCUAAUAACCAAUGGAAAUUUUCCAGGGUGGAUGAAAGUGAGUCAAAGACCUCAGUGAUGAAGGUGAUGGUGAAAUGUGGGGAAGAAGGAGGUGGGCAGUAGACCACCCUAGAUACCACUGAGCACGCCCAAAGGGACAUUAGCACUUAUUCGUUCUUUUUCAAGGACUCAUAAAUAUAUAUGUCAAUGUACUGCAUAUGUAUGUCUUAACUGUUCAAAUGUAGAACCUGAACCUGAGAGGGUGUGCUUGCUUGUCAAGUCCUCUGGUACAUAUUGUGAGGAAUAAAGGAAUGCCACUUUCUAACACCACAUUGGAGUUAGAGAGUUUUCUUCCUGGAUUUUGGAUUACCCAGAUGGGACACUGCGGCUGAGAUCUUGUGGUCUGAAGGACCAGAGGGGACCUCUGUUCAGCAUGCACACUGAGUGAUUCUUGGGGAGCUCCCCUCUGAUCCCAGUUCUGUCGGGUCUGGCCACAAGUUCCCUGGAUUAUGGUAAGGCAUUCCAUUCCUUUUUAUUGCCUCCAGUAAAUCAUGUAUGUAUCACAUACGGAGAGCAAGGGUAAUGAGAUGCCAGGGUACCCUAUUACAUGAUAUCAGGGAGACAACCUGAGUGUGAUAGGGGCCCAAGGUUCAAGUUCCUGGGCUAGGAAAUUGGGUACUUGAGAGAGUCAAGUCCCUGAGUAUGGUAAAGGUGUAAUGUAAAGGAGGUUCUGAUGUCCCCCAGAGAAUUGCAGUAAAAGGUGUACUUGCUCCCCUAAAAGAUACUGAAACGUUUGUUGGUAAUUGUGUUGCAUUAUGGUUGCUGGCAUUGUGAUUUUGUAUGUAAGCACAGGUGUGUGAUUAUCACUGCAACAGCACUGAGCUGUUUAUUUUUUUUCUCCCCUCUUUAUGGUGUGUAUGUGGUGAAUCUGCAUAUUGUGUUAAGCUUUGCUUUUUACUUCUGUGGCUGCAGCGGUGUGUGUGUGUUAAUGAUGCAUAAAGGCAAUUCACAAAUUCCAGACAUGGAGGAGUUGGUUGUGGAAACUGCAGAGGAAACUUGUUGAAAAUUGUAAUUUUAAUCACUUCUCCAAUCCACCAGUUAUUACUUGUAGAAUCCUGAGAUCUGAGGAAAAAUAACAAGUUAAGUUCCUCUCUUGCUAGGGGUAUUGGUUAUGGCUCUCCCUGAAGGAAUUAGGUGUACAAGCGUGCCUUGAGGAAGCUGGCAGACUCCAUUUCCUAGCAAUUAGAGGAGGGUCAGCUGUCCAACAUAGAGCGUACUGGAGGUUGUGAUCUGCGCCAGCCAAUGCAGAUGGGUGCCGGCACGAAAACACCCCCGCACCACACAGCCCCCUGCUGUGUCUCAGAAACGGAACUCUCGGAGAGAGCGAGCCGGGGGCUGCAGCUACCUGCUGUAAAGUGUGUUACUCCCCAGUGGGGGGGACGGGGAACAGGACACUGGAAGCGAGAAUAGCCUUCAUCUGCAGAAAUCUACGAAACCCGAUAUCCCAAUGUCUCAGCUUGAUCAGCUUGCAGUUUCUGAGUGCCCUGGGGCUUAUGAGAAAUAAAUCUGCGGUAUGGAUUCUACUUCUGCAGAACUCUUAAAUUUUUGUGUCUGCAUGACAUAUGGUGCAUGAUGCACGAUUUGCUUUCAGAGCAGGCAAACGUGAAAUACACGUGAAAGCCUCAGAAAACUGCCAGUAUUUGCAGAGGGCAGGGUCAGGGAAAGGGUCGGGCCUGCCCCGGGGCAGUCGCUUCUCUUGCCAUUGGUUGUGUCCUCCAGUAAUGUGAAUGACGAAUGAUGGGAAAAGGGUGGGACUAAGUCUAACUCUCCUCCUCAAAGCCUUCGAGUUUGCACAGAUAGUGUAGUUGUAGUGGAAUUCAUCUUGCUGAAGAGCUAAGCUGAACUUUUGAACUCAGGGAGCUUUAAAUACAGCACAUGACACCUGAAAGGCCUUGGCAGUAUAGGUGAGUUCCACUCUCCUUGCUUCAUAGAUGGGAAAAUGAAGCUACAGAAGAGAGAAAUAAUUUCCUUGAUGUCGCAUGGCUGAAAACUAGGGCAUGAAGAUCCCGUGCACUGACUUGUUCUCCUAGGUCCUAUGUGAUUUGAACUGGCAGUUAGUCCAGGGGAGCUGAUUGUUAUUCUACCAACCCUCUUCCUCCUCAUGCUGCCUAGUACUGCUUGCUUUUAGUGCCUAAACAGUGGUAGAAAAGUGCAACUUUGGAAACUCAAGCUGCAGGGAAUGUGUAUAUUUCUGUGCAUGUCUAAUUAGAAGGAAAAUUGUAAAACACAUUUUGCAUUAUAUCACAUACUGUGCUGACAAGGUCUUUUCAUUUUCUGGCAACUUCCAUGUAAGUCACCUCUACCAGGCAUGUUCCUAGUAGACUUACUGGAGUUCCUGGCACUCUCCCUCUUAACAUAAAUAGUUAGCGGGAAAUUGCUCAUCUUUGUUUCCUUGCUGUCUUCCAUGAUGCAUAACAAUGUAUUAAAACAGCCGCUUCCUUUUUCUGUACCAUCUUCAUACACUUGUUACUUGAGUUUAUCUGGUGAAUUGUACAAUAACAAAACCAAACAAGCAAAUAAAAAAAAUCCUAUUCACUGAAGAACUUGUGUCCACAAAGCUACAGGACAAUGGUCUCAAAGUAUGGGAAGGGCUGGUUGUUUCCCAUGAGGGAAUUUUGAAAGACUCCAGGUUUUCCCAGUUCAGAAAUGUGGAUUGGCUCAGGCCUUCCCCUGGGAUCCUGGUUUGGAUUCCCUCUCCCAGCCGCUCCUCAGUGCUGGCAUCAGAGUACAGACUAGGGCAGAGCUCAGAAUCCCUCAGAAAUUAAAAUGUAUGGAUGCCUUUGGCAGCAUGCAGGCAAAAAAGCUGGUUUGCUUUGUAAAGGAAGGUGGAGGCCUGCUCAUUGGAGGCCAGACUUGGCACUGGGCUAGUCUACACGGCAAGGAGAAAAUGCUGUUUAAAUUCCCUGGGAACCAGUGUGGUGUGUGUUUCACAGCUCGCAAGGGAGAGAUUGGCACUUUCUCUGUGUCCAAAGAAAUGCCAAGGAUUCCUCUGAUCACCCAAGGUUAAUAUCCUUUUCUUGACAAUUUCUUGAAAUGACUGUUGGGGAAAGCUCUUGACUGUAUCACUUUUAACAAAGGGCAAAGGAAUGGCUACAUCUCCAACUGUAUCUGUUCAGACUGGUGGAAGAAAUUAAGCCCCACAACUACAACUACCAGCUGGACUCACCUUCCUCUGUCUCCCAUUCAAAUACUAUGAACAACUAUUCAAGUAUAGUUCAGGGUUGAACUCUGGCAUCAAGCAACAACUCUGAUGGCUGAGAAGGAACAGUUGCAUCAUCUCCUUAUGUUUGAGUACGAUUUUGUGUAUUCUAGUAAAAUCAGCAACUAGACCCUGAAUUUGAGUCUGAAAUGCUUCAUGCAUUUGGAGAUGUGUUUCAGCAACAAAAAGCUCAUGAAGCUACACUGUAACUUCUUUACUGAUUGUAGUUCCCAUUUUUUGCAUUGUGACAGUUUAAAACAAUCCUGGGAAAUGUGGCUUUUUGGAAUGAAAUUGUACAUCUGUUGUAGCUUGGGUGGGGAUUUCUUCUGAGACGUCUUUCUGAUUUUGCAUAUAUAUCUCUUCAGCCAUUUCCCUUAAUUGCCACCUUCCAACAUCUGCUCCAGUCUGAAAUCAGGCUAAGCAAUAACCUGGCCAUUUUUCCACAAGGUAAUGACAGGUAAGUGGAGAUAUAUAACAACGUUUGAAAUUAUAUAUGUGCAAAUGAACUAAUAAAUAGAUAAAUAAUUUAUUAUGGCUGCUAAGGACAUUAACUUGCCGAGCUACUACAUCUGUACCUCCAUCUUACAAUACCAAACGGAGCAGGCACAUGUGGCUGCUGGCAGACUUGGGAGUUUCAUGCUCAAUGAGGUCUCUCUAAGCUUAUCAUUAAUAUCAGUCACUCCAAAAACUUCUGUUCUGCAGUGAAAAUUGCUGUCUCUUCACCCUUCUGUUUGUCCUGGCUUGUGUACUUAUUAUAACUUAAAACUACCUCCCAGUAAGUGAUUGAUUCUCUUUCCUUGUGACCCAUUCUCCUGCCUGCUCCCAAACCUCCUUAGUAUUGGCAGUGUCCCUCUAGGCAAAAGUCUGGGAUAAACUAGAGUGGAAUACUUUAUGUGGGCUCUGUUCUCCCAGGGCACUCAGCCUGACACAGUGAAGUUUUACCAGAAAAGAUCUCUGAACUCUGGUUUGGAAAGCAGAGAUGGAAGGGAAUUGCCCUAUAAAGUUUUUUUUUUUCUUCUUUUUUUCCUUCUUCUUUUUUUCCCAGUGAUUCUGAGCCAUCAUACAGCAAGGAUGUGGUGGAAGAUCCACACAGGAGGUUGUCUGGAAU